rnacentral:rRNA from 1 species
AGUCGAGGGGUAUAGUUCUUCGGAAUUAGAGACCGGCGCACGGGUGCGUAACGCGUAUGCAAUCURCCUUUUACAGAGGGAUAGCCCAGAGAAAUUUGGAUUAAUACCUCAUAGUAUGCAGAGUUGGCAUCAACACUGCAUUAAAGUCACAACGGUAAAAGAUGAGCAUGCGUCCCAUUAGCUAGUUGGUAAGGUAACGGCUUACCAAGGCUACGAUGGGUAGGGGUCCUGAGAGGGAGAUCCCCCACACUGGUACUGAGACACGGACCAGACUCCUACGGGAGGCAGCAGUGAGGAAUAUUGGACAAUGGGCGCAAGCCUGAUCCAGCCAUGCCGCGUGCAGGAUGACGGUCCUAUGGAUUGUAAACUGCUUUUGUACAGGAAGAAACAACUCUACGUGUAGAGUCUUGACGGUACUGUAAGAAUAAGGAUCGGCUAACUCCGUGCCAGCAGCCGCGGUAAUACGGAGGAUCCAAGCGUUAUCCGGAAUCAUUGGGUUUAAAGGGUCCGUAGGCGGUUUAGUAAGUCAGUGGUGAAAGCCCAUCGCUCAACGGUGGAACGGCCAUUGAUACUGCUAGACUUGAAUUAUUAGGAAGUAACUAGAAUAUGUAGUGUAGCGGUGAAAUGCUUAGAGAUUACAUGGAAUACCAAUUGCGAAGGCAGGUUACUACUAAUGGAUUGACGCUGAUGGACGAAAGCGUGGGUAGCGAACAGGAUUAGAUACCCUGGUAGUCCACGCCGUAAACGAUGGAUACUAGCUGUUGGGAGCGAUCUCAGUGGCUAAGCGAAAGUGAUAAGUAUCCCACCUGGGGAGUACGUUCGCAAGAAUGAAACUCAAAGGAAUUGACGGGG